AAACACCACGGUUGUCAACUACCAGCCGUACCAGACCUGUACGAGGGGGAACGGCCACUUUUCGUAUCAACACGCAAUAUAUUACCAAAGUCCUGGAGUGGAUACAAGUGGAGGUGAUUCUGGUGGAGGAGUGGUGUUCAAUGGCAUGAUUUACGGUGUCCAUUUAUUCACCGUGGAUAGUAGACUUGUCUGUUUUGCACCAGCUGGAUUCAUGGACGUCUGUGAAUUCAAGCGGUGGAUCAACGGCAUUGCCGGUACUGCCAUACCCUAAGUGGGAUGAUAAGGGUGUGUUACACUGUGAAAUGUCCUGUCAUUUAACAGGAAUUUCCCCUGCAUUAAGAAAAUUGUUGAGUUACUCUAAAUUUGCAAUUGAUAAAUUUACAACUGAUUUAAUGUUCAACUGUUAUUUGUAAAGCCCUUUAAGACAAACAAUAAUUGUGAUUCUAAGACUGGAUUUAUAGUAUCUGAGUUACAAAUUACACAUUGUUACUGUCAAACUGUUGUUCUGGUAAAAAAACAAAAAGAUAUCUACAGUUUUUACAAAUUUCCCCACACUGUAUGUAAACGUAACAGAUUGUGCAUGCUAUUAUACAGUGAUUGUAUUGGGAAAACUAUAAGGUGCCAAAUAUAAUAGUCUGCUAUUCUUUUCAAAAUACUGAUAACUGUGAUGAACAUGACUCUUUAACAAGCUUGUGUCAGUUUAAAUAAAAUGAAGAUGACUCACAAUCA